GAUGAACGCUGGCGGCGUGCCUAAUACAUGCAAGUAGAACGCUGAAGCAAGGAGCUUGCUCUUUCCGGAUGAGUUGCGAACGGGUGAGUAACGCGUAGGUAACCUGCCUGUUAUCGGGGGAUAACUAUGGAGAACGAUAUCUAAUACCGCAUAAUAGGACAUAUUGCUUAAUGUAUACGUAAAACGUGCAAUUGCACCACUACCAGAUGGAUCUGCGUUGGAUUAGUUAGUUGGUGAGGUUACGGCUCACCAAGGCGGCCGUACAUAGCCUGCCUGAGAGGGUGGUCGGCCAAAAUGGGACUGGGACACGGCUCAGGACUCCUAGGGAAGGAACAGGAGGGGAAUAUUGGACAAUGGGGGAAAGCCGACCGAGCAAAGACGCGGUAGGGAAGAAGGUUUUCCGAGCGUAAAGCUCCGUUGUAUGAGAAAAAAGAGCGGGAGAGUGGAACGUUGACAUUGUGACGGUACCUUACGAGAAAGCGACGGCUAACUACGUG
rnacentral:rRNA from 1 species